rnacentral:tRNA from 1 species
GCCGAAGUGGCGGAAUUGGCAGACGCGCUAGAUUCAGGGUCUAGUGUCCUCACGGACGUGCAGGUUCAACUCCUGUCUUCGGCACCA